rnacentral:rRNA from 1 species
UACGAGGGGGCUAGCGUUGUUCGGAAUUACUGGGCGUAAAGCGUAUGUAGGCGGAUCGUUAAGUCGGGGGUGAAAUCCCGAGGCUCAACCUCGGAACUGCCUUCGAUACUGGCGAUCUUCGAGUCCGGGAGAGGUGAGUGGAACUCCGAGUGUAGAGGUGAAAUUCGUAGAUAUUCGGAAGAACACCAGUGGCGAAGGCGGCUCACUGGCCCGGUACUGACGCUGAAAUACGAAAGCGUGGGGAGCAAACAGG